GACGAACGCUGGCGGCGUGCUUAACACAUGCAAGUCGAACGAAGAGGCGAACGGGUGAGUAACGCGUAAUCAACCUGCCCUUCAGCGGGGCACAACAGUUGGAAACGACUGCUAAUACCGCAUACUGAGGGCGGGGCUGGCGUCGGAUUAGCUGGUUGGAGGGGUACCGGCCCCCCAAGGCGAGGAUCAGUAGCCGGUCUGAGAGGAUGAACGGCCACAUUGGGACUGAGACACGGCCCAGACUCCUACGGGAGGCAGCAGUGGGGAAUCUUCCGCAAUGGACGAAAGUCUGACGGAGCAACGCCGCGUGAGUGAUGACGGCCUUCGGGUUGUAAAGCUCUGUUAAUCGGGACGCGGUACCGGAAUAGAAAGCCACGGCUAACUACGUGCCAGCAGCCGCGGUAAUC
rnacentral:rRNA from 1 species